CCUCCCCUCAAUGCACUCCAAAAGAGGGAAAGGUCAUUCCUGGUAUGUCCCAGAUGAUCCUCAGAUCAUGCCUUUGCCUCCGUGCUAUCUGCCCACGUUCUCUACAGCACUGCAGUGCCCUCAGGGCUCUAUACUAACCACACUAUGGAUCUCUAAACUCCAGUCUUUGAGUUCUACUGGUAACAACACUCAAAAGAUUUGAGAGAGCGUGCAGUGGAAGGGCAGAGGGAAAGGGAGACUCUGAAGCACACUCCCCACUCAGCCGGAGCCCGAGCCCUUCGUGAGGCUCCCCACCACAACCUCGAGAUCCUGACCUGAUCCAAAAUCAAGAGUUGAUGUUUAACUGACUGAACCACCAGGAGCCCCUCAAAUGUUCUUAAGCAAAAUCCAUUCUGUGAACCCUUGGCGGUGGGAGGACAGCAGGGACACCCAGUCUACCUAGAAGGUUGGGAGUCCUGGAGGGCCUGAGGGUGGGAACAAAGGAUGUGGGAGGGUGCCUGCAUCCCCUUCCCACCCGGCGUGGUGACAGGACCUUCCCUCACACCCUUGGCCUUCAGGGUGCAGGCCUACUUGCUGACUGGACCACCGACCUACAGUGAUGACACGGGACCCCAUUGUGGGUGGAACUGUGGCGUCCCAGGCUUCCACCGCUGCUGGUCGCUACUCUGCGUCCACAGGCAGUUGGAGGCACUCGUGCUCCAGAUCUGGCUCACAGCGCCCGAACUAUCCCACUCUCCCCAGUACCCCAGUGUAUAAAGUGUAGGCGCUCACACAGUGACAGGUUACAGAGAAACCUUCGGUCUGCCCCAGGCCCACAGGAACACUCACUGGCAGCCCCAUCCACCACCAUCUCGGCGCCAAUCCUGGGCCUGAAGACGUCACCCAAGCAUCAGCACCAGGCAAGAGGACCUGGAGACCCUGCUGGCCUUGGAAAGGGUGAUAUCAUAGCUGAAUACCAUCAGCUGAGGCCCAAACAAGUACCAUAGACACUACAGCACACACUAGAUGUGGGGACCACACCUGCAAAAGCAGGUGAGGCCCAGGGGGGGAUCAGAGCCAAGUAUGAGCCAGGUCAGCCCAGAUAAGGACCAUAGUCACCAGGAAUAUGUGAGACCCUGGGGACGGACCUGGGCAUCAAUAGCAAGCAAGGGUCCAUCCUGGAUCCUAGACAUUGAUUGCCGAUGAACCCAGGUGGAGAUCAUAAUCACCAGGUCCAGAUGAGGCCCAAGUGGUGAGCAUACCCAGGUAUGUGGGAAUGGGUAUGGCCCAAGUGGUAUCAUAAGCAGCAAGACCAAUUAUGUACCAGGUGAGGCUCAUACUACAGUCCAGCCAAUGAGACCCAAGUGGGUGUUGUUGCCAUUAUAAGCAGGUAUGGCCAGGUAGGGAUGCUAGUCCUCAGGAGCACCAGAUGUCCGGUUGGUGCGUUAGCCAGCAAGUAGAGGUUGAGACUCAAUCAGGGAUCUGAGUCUAAGCUGAGCAGGCAGGGCCCAGGCAGAGAUGAAACCCAGAGGAGCAGAGCAUGAGGAAAAGGCUGGAGGCAUUAGAGCCAUGUCAGGCCCAGGAGGGGAUCAGAGCCAAGGAUGAGCCAGGUCAUCCCAGACAAUGACCAUAGUCACCAGGAACAAGUGAGACCCUGGGGACAUUCCCGGGCAUCAGGAGAAGUAAGGACCCAUCCUGGAUCCUAGUGAACAGUAGCCAAUGAGCCCAGGUGGGGACCAGAGUCACCAGGUCAGGACAGGCCCAGGUGGGGAUCAUCGCUGAUAGAAGCAGGUAUGGCUGUCAGGCUGCUCCCAUUAGGCAGACAGGCCCAUCCUCUCAUGCCCAGCCAAUCUCAGAGGGUCCUGAGCUCCCUUAGGAUUAAGGGGAGAGGAGCGAUUCUUCUCCCUCCUUUCCCCAUGUCCCUGGCACUGAUGGGUCCCCACCACAGGGCCCCUCUGUUUCAGGCACACCAAUUAGGGUCUCCCUGGGACCCCUGGGAUGAUGCUGACCUGUCACUGUGGAAGGUCACAGACCGUCACAGCUUUCUGCAGUGAGUUCCCCGGACACCCAUUCAUCCAUUUCAGGAGGGGGUUUGCAUUUGCAGGAACAUCUCUCUGGGGGCUGGCCCAUCCCCCCAGGUCAGGACCUCAUCCCCUGGAGUCCUCUGAGGGCCAUGUCUGCAUGAGGCUGGAUCUGAGAGCCCAGGAGGCAAACCGGGAAGUGGGUAGGAGCGGAGCUGGGCCUGGGGUCGGGCCCCUGGGCACUCAGAGGAGGGGCCUCCACAACUGCUUCGGGGAGGGCCAGGUUUCUGCCUCCUGCAUUGGGGUGGGAAGUGUCCUGUCUUUCAGCAAGGACUCCAGAGUUGAGGGGCUCUGGGACCAUGGUGUGCUUUCUGUAGGAGGACGGUCUGGUCUGGGGCAAGUACAGAGGGGUACUCCUCACUCACACCCUCAGCCCAGGGCGUCUACUCACCAUGUGCUUCUUCAAUUUGGGGUGAGCUCUAUCUAGAAUGUGCUCGUGAUGGGCCUGGAAUCUCAUCAGUUUGGGGAACCCUGGAAUGAAGAAGCCUGAGAAGGCCCAGGUCCCCAAAGAUCAGGGUUUCCUCAUUCACCAAGCAGAAGUGUCACCAAGAGAAGUUUCCCUUCUCUUACUGGUGAGACGCUGCCCAGAGUGGAUGAGCUGGCCUCCCCAGGCCCAGCCACACAACCUGAGCAGUCUGGACACCCUCCCUGCAGGGCCAUCCUCAAGGCUGAGGAGCUGCUGCAGGAGGGAUGCUCCCCAGAGCCCACGGUUGCACACCUCUGUCCGGGAACACUGGGGGCUCUGCUACUGGCCCAGCUGUCCCCAGCCCAGGACCCCUCACUGCCCCGGCUGCCCCACAGUGAUGGAACUCUCUUCUCAUGAUCCCAGGGAACCAGGAGAGUGCAGUCAGAUGGUACCUGAAUAUGGAUUCGAAGCCGGAACACUGGGUCCCCUUCUCUUUGGCACCUGCCUGGUCCACACAAGAGGCCACACAGCAUACCACACACUAGAAUCCUCCUGGGAUUCCAGUCAUGGAGUACACCAAACUCACUAAGAUGACACUAUCGGGAGCAAGACACCCAUCCUGCACUGUGGCAACAGCAGCUCAAGCCCCUCAUUGGGCAGUGAUAGGCAGGACCAGGCCAGAGCCAGGGCAGCUCUGAACCUGCAAACCUAAGGCUGCGCAGAGUCCUGGGACCAUCAGACCUCCAACUCCACAGGGAACCUCGAUGCUUGUGGGCCUCUGGUGCAGUGCGUGAUGGUGGGGGUGGGGGCCCUGAGGCUCUGGCCAGCCGAGACCAUGCCCUGCCUCGUCUUACUGUCCUUCCUGUAGGGCGCCCACACACAUACCUGGCAAAAUCUCUGACCCAUUACAACCUGGGCUGGCCUCUCCCCAGGCUCUAGGGAGGCAGUGUCAACAGGAAUUCCACCAGGGUCAGGAUGAAGACUGAUGGGACUGAGCCUCCCCUGGCUCUGACCAGUUCUGGAUUCUGCCCCAAGGCUCACUGCCCCACUCAGAGCAGGAUGUGGCCCCCGGGGACGUGGGUGUGCCCCACAAAUCUAGGUCACUGACCUAGGACAGCACUGGGAAAAUAGGACACACCAGGGCAGGGGCAGCAGGAGCAAGCUGCUGGGCCACACACUCACCCACACUAGCAGACAAGAUCCUCCACAUCCAGGGUCUCUAGCAGUCAAUCACCUGGACCAGUGGGCCAGAGGCCAGGGUCCAGCUGACCUGCUGAGACCCAGCAUAGGAACACUUAAGCUGCAGGUCCAGGUCAGGUCUGCUGUCCUCAGAACUGCCUCUCAGGCCCCAACCUCAGGACAUCUGCCCCCAUUCAGACUCCUCACAAUCUCCAAACUGGGGACUCUAGCACCAGCACUUCCAUGUGACUUUAGCUUUCCCCUAAAGGACAGGAAGGUCUCCUUCCCCAGGGGAAGGUGCCCACCCUCAGCUCUAAGCACCUGGUUGCUGUUGAAAGUUCAAUAAAA